rnacentral:rRNA from 1 species
CCUACGGGUGGCAGCAGUGGGGAAUAUUGCACAAUGGAGGAAACCCUGAUGCAGCGACGCCGCGUGAAGGAAGAAGUAUCUCUGUAUGUAAAGCUCUAUCUGCAGGGAAGAAAAUGACGGUACGUGAUUAAGAAGCCCCGUCUAACUACGUUACAGCAGCCGCGGUAAUACGUAGGGGGCCAGCGUUAUCCGGAUUUACUGGGUGUAAAGGGAGCGUAGACGGCAUGACAAGUCUGGAGUGAGAUGUCGGGGCUUAACCCCGGAACUGCUUUGGAAACUGUGCAACUAGAGUGCAGGAGAGGUAAGCGAAAUGUAUGGUGUAGCGGUGAAAUGCGUAGAUAUUAGGAGGAACACCAGUGGCGAAGGCGGCUUACUGAACUAUAACUGACGUUGAGGCACGAAAGCGUGGGGAGCAAACAGGAUUAGAUACCCUUGUAGUC